UCCCAUAUUGUCUAGCGGUCAGGAUUCUUGGUUUUCACCCAGGUGGCCCGGUUCGACUCCUAUGGGAA